AGCUUUGGGCAGUGUCAGUACCUUAGCCAAUGAGGUUUAUCCGAGGUGCGAUUAUUGCUAAUUGAAAACUUUUCCCAGUAAGGUAAAAUGCUCAACAACGAUACUAGUAAGGAAUCAUAUUAAUAAUUCCUCCUUUCAAAGUACUAACUAGCA
rnacentral:snRNA from 7 species